rnacentral:rRNA from 1 species
AUUGAACGCUGGCGGCAGGCCUAACACAUGCAAGUCGAGCGAGCGGCGGACGGGUGAGUAAUGUAUGGGGACUGCCCGAUAGAGGGGGAUAACUACUGGAAACGGUGGCUAAUACCGCAUACUGUCGGAUAACCCAUAUGGGAUUAGCUAGUAGGUAAGGUAAUGGCUUACCUAGGCGACGAUCCCUAGCUGGUCUUAGAGGAUGAUCAGCCAAAACGGGACUGAGACACGGCCCAGAAUCCUUCGGAGGCAGAAGUGGGGAAGAUUGGACAAUGGGGGGAAACCUGAUCCAGCCAUGCCGCGGGUGUGAAGAAGGCCUUAUGGUUGUAAAGCAAUUUAAGCGAGGAGGCGUUACUCGCAGAAUAAGCACCGGCUAACUCUGUGCCAGCAGCCGCGGUAAUUC